UUCAAUUUCAGAUAUAUACGUGACAGGGCCGUGAAUUAACGUGACCCGAAGUUUUCUGGGUACAAAAAUAUUCGAUCUUUCGAAUACACAUUGUUACCAUUGGUCAGAACUCAUUUUAUUAUUAUGCAGUGACCAAAAGCUUACGGAAAUAAUGCAUAGAAGCAAAGCGAGGUUAAUGGCACUAAGCUAAUAUUUUGCCAUCAGAUACGUAUGUAUAAAAAACGGAAAACGAAUCAUACUUUAGAUCGAAUUCGAGCGAUAUAACGACAAUUAAGUCCUGAAUAUAUACGUUCAUUCGUGCAUUACGCGCUUUCCAAUUUUUACAUUUUUACGCAUAGAAAUUCCAGAUAAUUUUCUUUGUCUCAUUUUGGAGUUGAUUCAAAAUUAAUUGGACUUAAUAAAUCAAACACAAAGACAUCGUAAUUAUAAAAGAUAUCCGUAUCUGUUAAAUUGAUACCUAUAAAUGAAGCCUACAUAUUAUUGGAAUUUAAAGAGAAAAAAAAACAUUUGAAAUAAUUUACAUAACAGUCAUUUCCGCAGCAGAGAGAAAGAAAAGAGCGGAAAAAGCGCUCUCGUGAGCCACCGAAAUCAGAGCAAAAGCACGCGCACGAAAACUAAAUGUUGCGGGAGAGAAAAAGAGAGAGAAAAAAAGAGGCGUCGAGUGUUUUCAGGCCAUUUUCACCUCGUUCCAUCACACUAGGUGCAUUUUUCCAUCGACGAAGGAAAAAAGAGAGGAAAGAUACGCACGCGUAAAAUAAAGCAAUUUAUCGAGAGUUGCGCAAAUUCACAUGUCCCACGCUCCUGAUGCUCGACGUAAUAUGACGAGUGUGCAGAAUCAAAUGAACAAGAGAGAACAACGUUUGAUUCCAAUGGUCCUGAGCAUCAAGUUUAGAGGCUCGUCCGGAAAUCGCGAGAUCAUACGUUUCAAAACCUUGGUUGAUCUACUCCUCGUGAUGGGCACGAGUGCAUACAUCAGAUUUAUUAGAUCGAUCGUUCGAAAAUUGAUUUUGACAACAUUGCGUAAGUGCACUCAAGGAUGAACGAUACCGACAAGCGCGCGUAUAUACAUGUUUAUGCCUACACAUAGUUUGCUUUCCCACUUAAACAGUUUAUAACAUAUUUCAGAAGAAUAAAUAUAAGCAAAAAAUAGGACAAUUAA